UACGAAGGGUGCAAGCGUUACUCGGAAUUACUGGGCGUAAAGCGUGCGUAGGUGGUUCGUUAAGUCUGAUGUGAAAGCCCUGGGCUCAACCUGGGAAUGGCAUUGGAAACUGGCGACCUAGAGUGCGGUAGAGGGUAGUGGAAUUCCCGGUGUAGCAGUGAAAUGCGUAGAGAUCGGGAGGAACAUCCGUGGCGAAGGCGACUACCUGGACCAGCACUGACACUGAGGCACGAAAGCGUGGGGGAGCAAACAGG
rnacentral:rRNA from 1 species